CCCUGGUUGGGGAACUAAGAUCCUACAUGCCGCAUGAUGCUGCCAAAAGAUUGAAACAAACAAACCUGAGUUCCUGCGUUCAUGGUGCUUAAAGUAUAAGGUCCAUGAAAGGAUAACAGUAAAAUUUACUCAUCUUUAGAAGGUGAGUAUAAAAAUAUGAGGUCCCUUGAGGAUAAUAAACCAUUGACUCAAGUUUUAAUAUUAUGCUGUUCAAUUAUUCAUGCGUUUUCUCUUUUCUGCUAUUCCAGAUAAACAUUGUAAGACACCCUAAUUUUUGUCUCAUAUACUAAUCAGCUUUGGUGAAAUCUUGAGGAGCUACAGAAUGCAGAGAAUGUCCCAAUAGGCAUAUGAAGCUUUCUUUUCACUAACCAACCCCAUGCUGAGCUAAACUGUGCCUGCGGGGUAUGCAGGCCUAAUGGGACAUGAGAGCCAAUCCCACUCUCACACAGAAGAUACUGUGGCAAAUAUCAUUAAUGCUAUUACAUACCUCAAAAUUGCCCCUGAAAGGACCUCUGAAUGAUGUUCCAUCCAAGCCUGAUGAAAUGUAACGAAUGUGAGGAUAGCCUGCCAUGUCAGGAACCUAUUUUAAGAGAACAGGUAGAGCUCCUAACUGCAAGUGAUGAAGCCGAGGUGGUGCAUGGUAAUGGGCCAAGUGAGGAUGCAAUGCUCCAGGUGUGUAAGU